CGCAGCUGACGGGAGGCCGUGUUCGAGAGGAUCAAAACCGUCAUGUAUCAUGGGUAAAUUGUGACUUGCUGACUGAUCUACAAAUAAUAAUGAGCAGUUAUUUACGAUGUAAAGUUCCUUGUAGAUCAGUCAGUCUGUAGUCGCCUGCACUGUCGGCGCCAAUGUCGAACAAGCCCAUUAAGAUUCAACCACAAAGACCAGGGAAGUUUUCUGAUGUCUCGCAAAGAAGGGCACCUGGCCAUCCUUCAUCUAUCAGAGAAGAUCUGUGGACAGACUAAGUUCCACUGUCACCCAGGAGCCUGUGUCCAUGGCAUCAACUCCCUCUUGCCCACGGUUCUGGCCAACUACUCCAAUAUUGACACCAUCGCCACUCACGUAGGUUUUAACGUCUCGACCAAUAAUGGCCUGAUGAAUCCUACCCCUGCAAACCUAUUUGAACUUUCCUCCACAUCUAAAUGUAAUGAGUUUGCAGUGUAUUUCAGAGGUAAGAUUAGAUAACAUUAGGCUCGGUAUCAGUCAAGCAAGACCUGAUUAGAAGUUUGUAUUUUUGAAAAAUUCUAUUCUGUUUUUUAUGCCCACCACAGCACAGAGACAGUCUUAGUUAAAGUGGUAAAUGAUCUUAGAGCCAACACAGAUGCCAAACAACUUUCUGUCCUUGUACUCUUAGAUUAAGGUGCUGCAUUUGACACUGUUGACCAUGAUGUCCUUCUGGAAAGACUAGAGAGGUGGGUCGGCUUCUCCGGUCCAGUUCUUAAUUGUUUUAGGACCUAUUUAACCAGUCAAGUGUUUCUUGUAACAUAACUCAAAGAAAAUACAUAUCACAUGUGCUUUCCACAUGGUUCGAUUUUGGGUCCAGUUGUCACGACUCCCACCGAAUGUGGCGCCCCUGCCUGUUCAGGCGGCGCUAGGCAGUCGUCGUCACCGGUCUACUAGCCGCCACCGAUCCCUUUUUUGUUCGUUUGGUCUUAUUGGUUGCACCUGUCCCUUAUUUUGUUUCCUGAUUUAUGUCUAUUUUAGCCUUUUAGGCCCACCUAUGUUCGUGCAGGAUUAUUUUCUGUUAGUCGGGGUGUGCGUGUUUGUGUUCCUGUCCGUCCGUCCUGUGUUGGGUCGGACUAUUUUUCUGUCUGUUUAUCGCCUAUGGUUUUGGGCAUUCGUGUGGGAAUCCCAAUAAAGACGGU
ensembl:lncRNA